UCAAAAUUAUUGUCAGAGACAAAAUUGGUUUCAGGGCCUUUACUCUUUAGAGAUGCUUGAUAAAGCUCAACCAAAUAUCUUGGUACACGGUAAAUUUUUGCCCAGUGCCCUUUUUCACCGCAACGAUGGCAUAUAGUUUCUGAACUAUUUGCUUUUGGAUUCUCAUAAUUCCAUUUCCGCUUUUGAUGGUUAUAUUUCUUUGGGGGGUGACUAACACCAGGAAAAUUUCUUCCUUGUCCACGUCCACGGCCAUGACCCCCACCACGACCACGACCAUGAUUAAAGCCAUAGCCUUUUCCACGCUUAGCAUAAUGGGAAUACACCUUAUCUACUUCAGGCAAUGGUGUAGACCNNNN
rnacentral:lncRNA from 1 species